AUUGAACGCUGGCGGCAUGCUUUACACAUGCAAGUCGAACAGCAGCGCGGGCUUCGGCCUGGCGGCGAGUGGCGAACGGGUGAGUAAUACAUCGGAACGUGCCCAGUAGUGGGGGAUAGCUCGGCGAAAGCCGGAUUAAUACCGCAUACGACCUGAGGGUGAAAGCGGGGGAUCUUCGGACCUCGCGCUAUUGGAGCGGCCGAUGGCAGAUUAGCUAGUUGGUGGGGUAAAGGCCUACCAAGGCGACGAUCUGUAGCUGGUCUGAGAGGACGACCAGCCACACUGGGACUGAGACACGGCCCAGACUCCUACGGGAGGCAGCAGUGGGGAAUUUUGGACAAUGGGCGAAAGCCUGAUCCAGCAAUGCCGCGUGUGUGAUGAAGGCCUUCGGGUUGUAAAGCACUUUUGGCGGGAACGAAAAGGACUGUGCCAAUACCACGGUUCGAUGACGGUACCCGCAGAAUAAGCACCGGCUAACUACGU
rnacentral:rRNA from 1 species